AAAUGAUGAAGCCAAACUGAAAAUAGCUGGAAUUACCGGCAGAUUGUUCGGUGGUGAUACUCGGUUUCCUGAAC